GAGGGUGUAGCUCAGUGGUAGAGUGCAUGCUUAGCAUGCAUGAGGUCCUGGGUUCAAUCCCCAGUCCCUCU
rnacentral:tRNA from 1 species